CCUUGAUGAACGCUAGCUACAGGCUUAACACAUGCAAGUCGAGGCGUAGCAUUUCAGUUUGCUUGCAAACUGGAGAUGGCGACCGGCGCACGGGUGAGUAACACGUAUCCAACCUGCCGAUAACUCGGGGAUAGCCUUUCGAAAGAAAGAUUAAUACCCGAUGGCAUAAUUAGACCGCAUGGUCUUAUUAUUAAAGAAUUUCGGUUAUCGAUGGGGAUGCGUUCCAUUAGGCAGUUGGUGAGGUAACGGCUCACCAAACCUUCGACGGAUAGGGGUUCUGAGAGGAAGGUCCCCCACAUUGGAACUGAGACACGGUCCAAACUCCUACGGGAGGCAGCAGUGAGGAAUAUUGGUCAAUGGGCGCAGGCCUGAACCAGCCAAGUAGCGUGAAGGAUGAAGGCUCUAUGGGUCGUAAACUUCUUUUAUAUGGGAAUAAAGUUUUCCACGUGUGGAAUUUUGUAUGUACCAUAUGAAUAAGGAUCGGCUAACUCCGUGCCAGCAGCCGCGGUAAUACGGAGGAUCCGAGCGUUAUCCGGAUUUAUUGGGUUUAAAGGGAGCGUAGGUGGACAGUUAAGUCAGUUGUGAAAGUUUGCGGCUCAACCGUAAAAUUGCAGUUGAUACUGGCUGUCUUGAGUACAGUAGAGGUGGGCGGAAUUCGUGGUGUAGCGGUGAAAUGCUUAGAUAUCACGAAGAACUCCGAUUGCGAAGGCAGCUCACUGGACUGCAACUGACACUGAUGCUCGAAAGUGUGGGUAUCAAACAGGAUUAGAUACCCUGGUAGUCCACACAGUAAACGAUGAAUACUCGCUGUUUGCGAUAUACAGUAAGCGGCCAAGCGAAAGCAUUAAGUAUUCCACCUGGGGAGUACGCCGGCAACGGUGAAACUCAAAGGAAUUGACGGGGGCCCGCACAAGCGGAGGAACAUGUGGUUUAAUUCGAUGAUACGCGAGGAACCUUACCCGGGCUUAAAUUGCAUUUGAAUAUAUUGGAAACAGUAUAGCCGUAAGGCAAAUGUGAAGGUGCUGCAUGGUUGUCGUCAGCUCGUGCCGUGAGGUGUCGGCUUAAGUGCCAUAACGAGCGCAACCCUUAUCUUUAGUUACUAACAGGUCAUGCUGAGGACUCUAGAGAGACUGCCGUCGUAAGAUGUGAGGAAGGUGGGGAUGACGUCAAAUCAGCACGGCCCUUACGUCCGGGGCUACACACGUGUUACAAUGGGGGGUACAGAAGGCAGCUACCUGGUGACAGGAUGCUAAUCCCAAAAGCCUCUCUCAGUUCGGAUCGAAGUCUGCAACCCGACUUCGUGAAGCUGGAUUCGCUAGUAAUCGCGCAUCAGCCAUGGCGCGGUGAAUACGUUCCCGGGCCUUGUACACACCGCCCGUCAAGCCAUGAAAGCCGGGGGUACCAGAAGUACGUAACCGCAAGGAGCGUCCUAGGGUA
rnacentral:rRNA from 1 species